rnacentral:rRNA from 1 species
GACGAACGCUGGCGGCGUGCUUAACACAUGCAAGUCGAACGAAGUGGCGGACGGGUGAGUAACGCGUAAUCACGCUGCCCUUCAGAGGGGGAAAACAGUUGGAAACGACUGCAAAUACCGCAAACUGAAGGAGGGGCUUGCGUCUGAUUGGCUAGUUGGGGGGGUAACGGCCCACCAAGGGGAGGGUCAGUCGCCGGGCUGGGGGGAUGGACGGGCACAUUGGGAACGGAGCAAGGCCCAGACUCCCACGGGGAGCAGCAGUUGGGGAACUUCCGCAAAGGACGAAAGUCUGACGGAGGAACGCCGGCGGAGUGAUGACGGCCUUCGGGUUGUAAAGCUCUGUUAAUCAGGACGCGGUACCGGAAUAGAAAGCCACGGCUAACUACGUGCCAGCAGCCGCGGUAAUAC